GGAUUAGAUACCCUGGUAGUCCACGCCGUAAACGAUGAUAACUAGCUGUUCGGGCACUUAGUGCCUGAGUGGCGCAGCUAACGCAUUAAGUUAUCCGCCUGGGGAGUACGGUCGCAAGAUUAAAACUCAAAGGAAUUGACGGGGGCCUGCACAAGCGGUGGAGCAUGUGGUUUAAUUCGAAGCAACGCGCAGAACCUUACCAGCGUUUGACAUGGUAGGACGGCUUCCAGAGAUGGAUUCCUUCCCUUCGGGGACCUACACACAGGUGCUGCAUGGCUGUCGUCAGCUCGUGCCG
rnacentral:rRNA from 1 species